AGAUGUGAGGGCGAUCUGGCUGCAACAUCCGUCACCCCACUGAUCCCCAGGGUUAACCUAUGUGCGUGCCUCCCCAAGCUGAGCACUCUGUCAAAGAGGACGACCUUCCCUGACAGAGGAAGACUGGUCCUCGGUCAAGGGCAGAUGAGCAGCUGCGCUCCCCUGCUAGAACCUCCAAACAAGGUCUCAAGGAAACCGUCGAGUACCUCACUGACUCCACUUCCACCAUGCAAGCCCACAGCCAGAAGGCAGCUGUCUGUA
rnacentral:snRNA from 1 species